UUAAAAUAAGCAAGACUAGAGAAACAUGAUUAUACAGUAAAUCUCAUGAUUAUAUCUUGUCGGGGAUAUAAAUCUUCUAAAAGGCUUGUCUAUGACUGUGUUCCUCACAGAUUUAUGCAUCAUAAUCCUUUAGAUUCAACAGCAGAAUACGAAAAACACAAGUGGCUUGACCAUUGAUUCAGAUUACUUUAGGUUGCAUCACAAGAAUUUUACUUCAAUUAUGUACAAAUAUACAACAACAGCAUACCCACAUAAUCAACAUGUCUUGCACAAGACAUUGUACGGAGGAAAGGCAAAGUCAAGAAAGGUUCCCCAACGGUAAUAUCCCUUCCAAAUUCAAUUCCUUUUAGUUCAAAUCUUCCAGAAAUUGGAACGAUUUCGUAUGUUGUGAAAUUGAAGCUGGAGUCGGUGGAAAGCUUCAGCAAUUCAUUGCUCCCAAGCUCGCUUCUCCUAGAAAGGUAAUCUUCAUUCCUUUUUAUGUUUUUUUAUUCUCUUUCUCUGUUUUAUCAGCUUUAGAAUGAUCUGCUUCUCAGUUUGGUAAUGAUAUUUUGCUUUAUAGUUCCAAUUUCACUUUUCAAUGUAUUGAACCUAAGGUUCAAAUUUUGUUCAUCAGUAAUCAUUAAUUUUCUUGUGAUUAGUGAAUUUAAGAUCAAUAAACUUUUGUCUUUGUAGUUCAUCAAUAUACAACUGGACUCCUUUUUGACUCUUUGUGCAGUUGGAUUAUGUAUUAGCUUAUGCAUUUUUCCUUAAAUGUGUUUAAAUGGGGCAAAAGGAUGAUUCAUAUGAUCUGCUAACCUUGAAUUUGUGCGUAAUAAAGAAAUGUAGUUAUAAGAUUAAACUCACAAUAGGCUUAUUUUGAUUCGUUUUUUUUAUUUGAUUAUCACAAAAAUGCCUUAACAUUUGACAAGUUUCAUUCUGAUCCUUAAAACGAUGAUACUAUAUACCUUGGGUUUGAAUCUCAAAAUGCCCCCAAUUCUUGAUUGUUGUUCUGUUUGCACAUUUAUAAUGUAUGCCCUUCUAGGAUAUUUUGUGUUCUAAAUUAGUUAAGAUUCAUGAUUUUGCCCCGCCUUCAACUAUUCCAUUUCAUGUUGGAUAAUGAUUUACCUAUAAAAAAUCAUUUAUAUGUUUAUAACUUAACCUUCCUGAGAUUUCCUCUAUUGAAAUGGUAAGCAGAUCAACCUAUUGAGCCGAGAUUGUCUCAUGAACCAUGCUUAAUUAACUAUAAUGUGAAGUGGUACAGAUAUGACUAUUUUGGGGUUGUGAAAAUUGACAUUGAUUUCCUCUUACCGAUUUCUAAUUUUCUCAUUAUUUUCUUUACUUGAUCCCUCUCAAACGAGCCUAUGUGGACUCUCGCUCAACAUCUACGCUCAAGCUGUUGUUUUGUGGAAGCAGCUCUCAACCUCAAUGGAACUUUCUUACGGAAAAUAAUAUGUACAAUAUCUAAAUGAUUGCAGUAUUUUAAAAGUUUCAAUGGCAUCAUUCGAAAAUUAUGAAAAGUGGUCCCUUCAUUGCCGAAAAAUGGAAGGGAGAGUUUAAAAUGAAAUGUCUGUGUAAUACUAUAUAGAUUAACGGUGUAUUUAUGGCCUUAUAUAAACUAUGUUGAGGUGGGUACUUUCACAGAGAUUUAAACCUGAUGUUUAAUGCUAAUUUAACACUCCAUUGAAUUAUUCAUAUUUCUUAUUCUCAAAGAAAAAUAUUCG